GCUUGUGUGGUGUAGUUCGGCCCAUCAUGACGGGUUCUCGAUCCGUCGACCCGGGUUCAAAUCCCGGCGCGAGCA
rnacentral:tRNA from 2 species